rnacentral:misc_RNA from 1 species
CGCACAUUGCGCCUGCUGGUAUCCCAGCAGGCAUGCCCGUUCGAGCGUCAUUUCAACCCUCAGGCUCUGCCUGGUAUUGGAGUUUCUACGGUGUAGGCUCCCAAGUCCAGUAGCAUGGUUGUCAUUUCACCAAGUGCAGUAAAUUACCAUCACUUAGGGGAAGUGGCAUUUCGUCGCUAGGAACCAAUCUCAAAAGUUGACCUCGGAUCGGGUAGGGUUACCCGCUGAACUUAA